GACGAACGCUGGCGGCGUGCUUAACACAUGCAAGUCGAACGGAAAGGCCUCUUUCGGGGGGUACUCGAGUGGCGAACGGGUGAGUAACACGUGAGUAACCUGCCCUUGACUUUGGGAUAACUUCAGGAAACUGGGGCUAAUACCGGAUAGGAGCUCCUGCUGCAUGGUGGGGGUUGGAAAGUUUCGGCGGUUGGGGAUGGACUCGCGGCUUAUCAGCUUGUUGGUGGGGUAGUGGCUUACCAAGGCUUUGACGGGUAGCCGGCCUGAGAGGGCGACCGGCCACAUUGGGACUGAGAUACGGCCCAGACUCCUACGGGAGGCAGCAGUGGGGAAUAUUGCACAAUGGGUGGAAGCCUGAUGCAGCAACGCCGUGUGCGGGAUGACGGCCUUCGGGUUGUAAACCGCUUUCGCUCAUGACGAAGCUUUGUGUGACGGUAGUGGGUAAAGAAGCACCGGCUAACUACGUG
rnacentral:rRNA from 1 species